GCGACGGAGACGAGGACGCCAUCGGCUGGAACUACGAGAAUCCGCAGUGGGAAAUUCGUCUCCGCAAUCCCUCGGAGACUCCGUAGCCCUAAUACACAUUUCAUGCAGCGAAUUCCAGUGCGAAGGAUUCCUCAGGUACCCAACAAAGGGCUUCGUGAUCUGUUGAGGUUUGUGGACCAAUGUUUAGCUAUCUCGUUGCAAACCAUUGUUUAUGGAUCCGCUCUUCGGCAUUGUCAGUUUGAGUUCUUGUGGUGCUUUUAAAUGGACGGUUUAAGAGGGGUUUGUAGUUUGAGGUAGCCGACGAUGUAGUCCGAUUGUGCGGUAGAUUCGAGCUACAGUGGUGCAGGAUUGGAGUGACAGGAAUAGGAGAGCAGCAAUGAAGGUGCGGGCGGCGGUUCGCCGAUUGUGCGAGUACUGCAAGGUGGUCAAGCGUCGGAACAGAGUUUUCGUAUUGUGUACCGUGAACCCAAAGCAUUAGCAACGUCAAGGGUUCUGUGAUUGUGCGUUCGAUGCCGAGAUUCCUUCCGUGUAACCUAUUUACCAUGCUUCCUUCAAUUGAGGCCAUUUAUCCUUUUUUCUUUUUUUUUCUUUUUUUUCUUUUUUUCAAUCCGCGCAAGCGUAGCGAUUGACUUUCUGAGUUUUUCCUCUUGUUAGAAGGCUAGUGGAGCAUGACAUUAACUUUAGCUGACAUUUGCUUCUCGAUUUUCCUGGAAUGUUGUUUGAAAAAUCCGGAACGCUCCCUUGCGUGUCUCGUCCUUGCAGAAGGGUUUUGGGCUUCUGUUUGCACUUUGUAGAGAUUGCACACGUCCAUUCAGUUACAAGAUUGUGUUAUUGGUUAUCAGUCUAUAUGAGGCUCAGAACACUACCAAAGGCUUUCUUUGAUUCUUCUGCUUCUGUUUCGAGCUAACAUAGUCAGAUUUUAUGAGACACCUUAGUGGGGUGUUAAUUGUGAGUGCUCGCGAGGUGCGUGUAUUGCGUUCUUAUUUUAAUUGAUGAUGCUUCUAGAUGUACCAAGUCCGUAGUUUGCACUGCGCUUCGCGAAUCAUAAAUUCUUUUACAAUAUGCGAUGUACUGGCCACUCGAUUUCUUGAGGCGGACCCCAAAGUCUUUCAAUACCCAACCCUCUCAGACUGUUAGUCUAGUUAAACCUGUAGAGUCUAGUGAGGGCGUUGGGUUAGCAUCUAUACUACCAAGUGUUACAGAAGCUACAAGUUCCUGAUUUGUUCCUGCAACAAGAUCUAUAUGAUUGUCUCGAUUCCAUUUUAACUUUGUUACGAAUUUUAGUUGGACUAUUUAUGGUUUCAGAGAACCCAUUGUGCCUUAUGAACCAUACGUGGGGUUUGCCACAUCUCAACGUUAUGAUUUUGAACACGAGUCCUCAGCAAUUCCUCUGUUAUUGAUCUCUGCAGUGAUUGAAUCUGUGGGUCAUGAUAUCAUUCACUAUUGGUUUCACUGAGAAAGAAAGUUUUAGAAAAAACUAUUGCAUUACUGGUGGACUACUGGUGGACUGGUGAAGAAUGUGUCGUUGCCUUAAUGACCUUUUUAAGCAAGGUAUGUUGGUAAGGGGAGAUUGAUCCAGCAAGAAGAGGAUGUCGUGUGUCGAGCAUCAAAGAUGCAGCAGAUUCAAGGUUUGCAGCACCCUCUCUUUGAAAGUCUUCACAGAUUCACAAUAGGCGAUUUAGAUUGCUUACUUCUUCUGUAGUUGUGCCUGUUGAUUUUGUGCCAUGAUACCUAAUUGUUAUUGAAAAUCAGCAAGUACUUGCUUAGUUACAACCACAUAGUAUGUGGUUAAUAGUAGAAAGGCAGCAAAGAAUUAAAGUAAGUUAUUGUGAUGGCACCAAGGGUUUAGUUGGAUGAGGUAGAAAUGGAUGUAAUAUCAAAAGGAUGGAAGUUGCCUAGUUGGUGAAGAAACCACUAUUUAUAAGUAAAGAGUGUUGGAAGUAAGAAUUAUCUUU